rnacentral:lncRNA from 1 species
UUUUUUUUUUGGUAAUCUGCUAAUUUCCUUUGGCAUAACCUCUCCGUUGAACUAAAUGUAGGUGUAAGAGUGAGAAACAUCUUGUUUAAAAGCAAUGAGACCUCACCAUAUUUUCUUAAAAUACCCUCCUUCCAUCAAAAGUAAGAAAAUGAGUUCAAGGGAAAAAAAUCAAGAGGGUUAAGUUCCCACUUGGUCCUUCAAUAAAAUUACUUGUCACCGCGUUCAGCUGAUGAUCACCCAGACACAGAACUGGACUCUCCCUGCACUUGUGUCCAUGUAUUGCUAAGUUUACUAACACAAUCUGCAUGCCAUAGGACAAAAGAUCACCCUAUUUAACAGAUUUCAAGAAAUUAACCUGUACUGAUAUAUGACCCUGUUUGAUGCCAAUACGGUAAGGUGGUAGCAGCAGGUUGCGGUGCAGCCAGGUUUCAAGAGAGGCUCAUUUGACUGCUGAUUAAGGAUAACUUGCAGGAAAAGUGAUUUCUCAUCAGGGAGGAAAGGUAUCUGCUGCAAAGAGCAACAGUGCCUACUGGACAGUCAGAGAGUCUGUCAGAGUCGCUGCAGAUGUGCACGCCACAGUCAUGCUGGAGAGUCUGGCUCAAGGGACUAGGGGCAAAGGAGGUCUUAGGAAAGGACAAGAGUUAAGAAGCAUAAUAAAGCCCAGCCACAAAUGUGGAAGAAGCCAGGUCUACCUGGAUGUUUUGUUCUGUGUGCCAAAUCAAGCAUCUUUAGAAAGCCUCAAUUCAUAUUGCCCUCCCUAACUCAGGCUGAUUAAAUUAGAAUCUCCAUUAUUCAGCUGCCUACUCAGAGGCACUUCACCAACAUGGAACUUCCUGUCCUUGUCAGCAGCCCUGGGAACACCAUAACAGCAGAUUUUGUGGACAUCAAAUUAGCAAUGAGCCAUUGGGCUUCAGCAGGCAAAUGAUUGACCUCCACUCCUUGAGCAAAAGAAAAGAUUCUUGAACCAAGGUAAUGACUAGAUCUUGAUGUUAGGUGAGUCACUCAGAACCACAGAGCUCUUCAUUAGAAAUAUAUAAACAAUAAUACAUGUUCUGUCUGAAAAUAGCUUCCAAAAUUAUAAACAUUACAUAGAAGGGAAUUCUUUAUUUCUUGAAUGUUCUUAAAAUUGAUUGCCCCGCACCUACCCCACGCCCCCAGCCUUCUAUCCUUCCCUUCCACUGCUCCCAAUUCCUUCAAACAGAUUUCCAUGGUAACCAAGAGCUACCACAAAAAUGCAGACUCCUGGGUGACAUUCAUAACAAAUAUGCCUGACUCUGAUAAUUCUGCUUUGGUUGCACCAAUUUUAACCUAGGUUUUCACAUCCUUUUCAACUUAACCCCCAAAGACUAUCCUCAAGAACUUUCUGUCUCUGAAAACUGUUUUUUUCCUUGAAGUGAUAGAAAGGGCAAACUAAAGAAUUUUAGAACUGAAUAAGACCAUUCAAAAGCCUCACUUACUUAAAUGAAAUCUGGGUCAGGGAAAAGAGGUAACCACAACAAGUUACGUAGCUGGUGAGUAUGAGAGUUAGUGAGUAGUAGUAACCCAAUUCACUUAACUCCCAAAUCAGUGCUCAGGAUCUGGAGACAUUUUUGGUAUCACAACUGCCAAGAGUGGGAGGGGGCGAGCGGCUGCUGACAUCUGGUGGGUAGAGGCCAGGGAUUCUGGUAAACGCCCCGCAAUGCAAAAGGCAGCCCCUAAAGAAAGAAUUAUAGAGUCCAAAACAUCAACAGUGCCAAGAUGGAGAACUAUGAGGUAGGGAAAUUGAAAAAAAAUUUAAUAAAAGUUGUAAUCAAGUUUAAAUUAUAUCUUGAAAUGUCAAAGCGAGUGUAUUAAUAAUGAUUUUCCUUUCAAAUUCCCAUUCUCUGCCACAAUACACCAUGAAACAGAAUAUGUUUCCAAUUCUGCAUAGAACUGGUAUUUACUAUCAUUGCAUUUCAUUUUACCUUGAAAUGUUAAUUGCUGUACAGCAGGGCUCCAUGGUUGAUUUAAAUUUACAUUUGCUUUUAAAUUUGAUUAAUCCAUCUCUUAGGAUCCCAUUCUUCCAUAGUUACUCAGAGGGAAAAUAGGCUUUUGAGUACACAAUAAUUAAAAAAAAAAAAAAAAGCCUGGCUGAUUUGGUAGUUACACUUUUACAUUAAAGUGACUUUUAAGUAGAAGAAAUAAGGGAUGCUAGUAGAAGAAUAAAAUAUAUCCUCAUUUACCUGGAUAUCUGUCCUGAAAUAUCUUAGGCUUGCUGUGACACAGUAAUAAAUACAAGAGAAAAUAGAACUUCACCUUACUUCUUGUAUUCAGAAAAUUGCUACCUUUUAGGAAUAUCCUGAUUUAUUCUAUUUCAAAAUAAAUAUAAAUAUAUAAAAAUUUGAAGGAGUCCUCUUCAGAGCCAGUAGGGUGCCUUACAUAGAACCACUUCCUGUAUCUAGCUUCCUGCUCAACUUCCCACUCUGCCUUCUGGGAUUCACCUGAUGGACUUUGCUAAAACCACUGUAAGAAGAUUCUUUUUGGCUACACAUAGAAGCAGCAGAUAAAUGGAAGAUAAAUAACAUUGCUUAAAUACUUAAUUCUCACCAAGCACUCUCCUAGACAUUUAAUUUCAACCUAGAAAUGGCAAAUAUUGGCAAGCAUCCACUCCAUCCCACUCCCAGGCAAGUCUCUCUAAUCAAUCAUGUCACUUUUCCAAUAACUUGGAUUUACCAUAAAGUCCUCUUCAAUGCACUCCAGUAAGCCAUUACCAAUUAAUCCUUACGAAGCAACAGGUUGAAUGAAACCCAUGUGCCAUCCCUGAUAAACAUUAAGAGCAUAAAUAAGGAACAGUCUGCUCUUCAGAGAUGCUGGUCAGCUAUCCUGGACAGAUUUUUUUUUUUCCCCUUGAGAUUGGUAGACCUGCAUUUAAAUUUUGAUUCUGACAAGUUACACAUCAAUUUCUAUGAAGUUCUCCAUCUUAGCCCACCCUCACCCCCAAGUCAGAGCACUUAGAAUUCUGGUAUGAAGUUGUUGAAAUUUGGAGGGCACAAUACUAUCAAAGAAGUGUUUCAUGUGCAAAGUUUUAAAAUCCUUCAAGGAUUUUCAAAAGGACUAUUAUGAUUCAAUAAAAAUCAUCUAGUGCUGUUUGAUUUGAUCACCAAGAGGUUUUCUGCUCUCCCACCGUUUUGGUUAACAUAUUAAUAACUUAAGACCCCUUUAAGGAGUCUCAAGAGAUAGUUUUGGAUUCUGGCUGAUUAGAUGAAGCAGUACUCCAGAAGGACAGAGUCUCCUCUGACAUAUCUCAAGCCCUCAGGAGCUUGGGCUACUGCCUCGGUCGGGUAUAAUUUCCCCUCCUCUCCAUUCCCUGUCACCCCCAUACUCAUGCUUUUGCUUCCCUGACUUUGACGCAAUUGCUAAAUUGUAUAGUACAUGAAUUACUGUAUAUCUACAUUGAAACAAAUGGCCUUUAUUGAAUCUGAUGUGACUCUAACUUGGUAACCUGUGCCUUUAGCAUGGCAUUAUGUAUUUUGACAUAGCCUCUUAAAUAGAAAACAUUUAAGUGGCACAGAGACACUCAGCUCCCUAGCUAGAAAUAGAACAGCUUACAUCACAACCCUUUUUAGAUAGGAAAACACUAUUCUUAGGUGCUUUGUUGAAGUAAACACCAUAAAAUAGCAGAGUUUUAAAAAGACAAUUUCUGCAUAUUUUAUCUACUACUUUUCUUCAACAAAUCCUCUUUUCCUAGGUUAAAACUUAGGUUUUCUUUGAAGGGAAAACACUGAGUUUCAUUACUUCCAUGUAGCCAUAAUAUAUAUAAGCUGAUUUCCUUGUGUAUGUAUGUAUUCAUUUUAGGAGUAAGUAAUUGUCAACCGCCAUUCCUAUUUAUCUCAGAAGUGAUAUAUCAGUGGUCAUCAAAUUUAUCAUCUCAACAAUAAAUUAACGAUAAUCUGCUAUGGCCUGAAUGUUUGUGCCCCACCCCCCAAAUUCACACGUUGGAGUUCUACCACUCAAGGUGACAGUGUUAGGAAAUGGGGUCUUUGGAAAGUGACUGGGUCAUGGGGAUGGCACCCUUAUGAAUGGGAUAAGUGCCCUUACAAAAGAGACCCCACAGAGCUUUCUUGCCCCUUCUGCCAUGUGAGGAUACAAUGAGAAAUCUGCCGCCCAGAAGAAGGCUCUCCUCCAGCCACACUAGAACCAUGAUCUCUGACUUCCAGCCUUUCAUCUCUGAUGAAAAAAUGUCUGCUGUGUAUAAGCUACCCAGUCUUUGGUAUUUUGUUAUAGCAGCCCAAACAGACUAACUCAUAAUUAUGACUUAAAAAAAAAAAAGUACCCUACUCAGUUUCUUAAGAUGAAAAGAAGGAUAGUUCUCUUUCUGAGGGACAUUUCUAAAAGACAUCUUUCACAUACAUGAUCUUGUUUUAGCCUUACAAUUACCUUUUUUUUUUUUUUUUUUUUUUUUUUUUUUGGUCAUGCUCUCAAUAUGUGAUCAAACAUGCCAGGCCAGUGAUCAAACCACAGCAGUGAUCCAAGCCAGAUCCUCAGCGGGCUGCUCCACAAGGAAACUUCCAAAUAUCUUUAUCUCAGUGUUUCAACUGAAGGUCAGAGAUGUCUGAUAAUUUGACUGAUCAUUUGAUUUUUCAAUCACUUACCUUCAGGUAAGUUGAAGUCCAUUUAAACUUCAUGCGAAAGGCAGAAAACCAUGAGCAAUCUUCUCUUCAGUUAUGUUAAAUGGAUAUUCUCAAGCAGAGUAUGUCUUAUGCCAUGACGUGUGAAAAAUAUAUAUAUUCUUAGAGCUUG